AAAGGUCUUAUUCUCUUCUUAAAUACUCCAUACCCACCAGUACAAGCUUGAAACACUAGAGGUCUUAUUCUCUUUUUAAAUACUCCAUACCCACCAGUAAAAGCUUUAAACACUAAAGGUCUUAUUCUCUUUUUAAAUACUCCAUACCCACCAGUAAAAGCUUUAAACACUAAAGGUCUUAUUCUCUUCUUAAAUACUUCAUAACCACCAGUACAAGCUUUAAACACUAGAGGCCUUAUUCUCUUUUUAAAUACUUCAUACCCACCAGUACAAGCUUUAAACACUAGAGGCCUUAUUCUCUUUUUAAAUACUUCAUACCCACCAAGUACAAGCUUUUCCUUUUCCUUCGUCUUCAGAGGCUUGUGGAAUAUAAUCUGAACAUUUUUGAAUUUGGUUGAAUCAGCAGUCAGCAGUUUUGGUCAGCUAGCAAUCACUGAAAACACAACAGCAGCACAGACAGCACAGACAGCACUGAUUAGAGUAAGAGGCGUUUGGCAUCGUAGGGUUAGGUUAGGUUAGGUUAGGUUAGGUUAGGUUAGAUUAGAUUAGGUUAGGUUAGGUUAGGUUAGACUAGGUUAGGUUAGGUUAGGUUAGGUUAGGUUAGGUUCGGUUCGGUUAGGUUAGCCUGACCCAGACCACAGAAGUGCAU
ensembl:lncRNA